AACGAACGCUGGCGGCAGGCUUAACACAUGCAAGUCGAACGGUUGUAGCAAUACAGCAGUGGCAGACGGGUGAGUAACACGUGGGAACCUUCCUAGGGGUACGGAACAACCCAGGGAAACUUGAGCUAAUACCGUAUACGUCCGUGAGGAGAAAGAUUUAUCGCCCUUAGACGGGCCCGCGUCGGAUUAGGUAGUUGGUGGGGUAACGGCCUACCAAGCCGACGAUCCGUAGCUGAUCUGAGAGGAUGAUCAGCCACACUGGGACUGAGACACGGCCCAGACUCCUACGGGAGGCAGCAGUGGGGAAUCUUGGACAAUGGGCGCAAGCCUGAUCCAGCCAUGCCGCGUGAGUGAAGAAGGCCUUAGGGUUGUAAAGCUCUUUUACCAGGGACGAUAAUGACGGUACCUGGAGAAUAAGCCCCGGCAAACUUCGUG
rnacentral:rRNA from 1 species